rnacentral:ncRNA from 3 species
GCCGUAGGUGAACCUGCGGAAGGAUCAUUA